rnacentral:rRNA from 1 species
GUAGGUGGCAAGCGUUGUCCGGAAUUAUUGGGCGUAAAGCGCGCGCAGGCGGGGUCCUUUAAGUCUGAUGUGAAAGCCCACGGGCUCAACCUUGGAGGGUCAUUGGAAACUGGGGGACUUGAGUACAGAAGAGGAAAGCGGAAUUCCAAGUGUAGCGGUGAAAUGCGUAGAGAUUUGGAGGAACACCAGUGGCGAAGGCGGCUUUCUGGUCUGUAACUGACGCUGAGGCGCGAAAGCGUGGGGAGCAAACAGGAUUAGAUACCCUGGUAGUCCACGCCGUAAACGAUGAGUGCUAAGUGUUAGGGGGUUUCCGCCCCUUAGCGCUGCAGCUAACGCAUUAAGCACUCCGCCUGGGGAGUACGGCCGCAAAGGCUG